rnacentral:rRNA from 1 species
GACGGAGGAUGCAAGCGUUAUCCGGAAUUAUUGGGCGUAAAGCGUCCGCAGGUGGCUAGUCAAGUCUGCUGUCAAAGCGCGGAGCUUAACUUCGUAAAGGCAGUGGAAACUGAUUAGCUAGAGCAUGGUAGGGGUAGAGGGAAUUCCCGGUGUAGCGGUGAAAUGCGUAGAUAUCGAGAGGAACACCUGCGGCGAAGGCGGGUUGCUGGGCUGAUACUGACGCUGAGGCGCGAAAGCCAGGGGAGCGAACGGG